rnacentral:rRNA from 1 species
AUUGAACGCUGGCGGCAUGCCUUACACAUGCCAGUCGAACGGUAACAGGUUAAGCUGACGAGUGGCGAACGGGUGAGUAAUGUAUCGGAACGUGCCCAGUCGUGGGGGAUAACUGCUCGAAAGAGCAGCUAAUACCGCAUACGACCUGAGGGUGAAAGCGGGGGAUCGCAAGACCUCGCGCGAUUGGAGCGGCCGAUAUCAGAUUAGGUAGUUGGUGAGGUAAAGGCUCACCAAGCCGACGAUCUGUAGCCGGUCUGAGAGGACGACCAGCCACACUGGGACUGAGACACGGCCCAGACUCCUACGGGAGGCAGCAGUGGGGAAUUUUGGACAAUGGGCGCAAGCCUGAUCCAGCCAUGCCGCGUGCGGGAAGAAGGCCUUCGGGUUGUAAACCGCUUUUGUCAGGGAAGAAAAGGUUCUGGCUAAUACCUGGGACUCAUGACGGUACCUGAAGAAUAAGCACCGGCUAACUACGUG